rnacentral:rRNA from 1 species
AUGACUUGUGGGUAGCGGUGAAAUUCCAAUCGAGCUCGGAGAUAGCUGGUUCUCCCCGAAAUAGCUUUAGGGCUAGCCUUGAAUGUAGAGAUGUGGAGGUAGAGCACUGAAUGUCCUAGGGGGUAUUGCACUUACCGAAGACUAUCAAACUCCGAAUGCCAUUAUCUUUUAUUCAGGAGUCAGACUAUGGGUGAUAAGGUUCAUAGUCGAAAGGGAAAGAGCCCAGACCGUCAGCUAAGGUCCCUAAAUGUAUGUUAAGUGGUAAAGGAUGUGGGAUUGCACAGACAACCAGGAUGUUGGCUUAGAAGCAGCCACUCAUUUAAAGAGUGCGUAAUAGCUCACUGGUCGAGUGAUCCUGCGCCGAAGAUUUCCGGGGCUAAAACAUACUACCGAAGCUACGGCAUCAUAAGAUGAUGGGUAGGGGAGCUUCCCAUGCAGGCUGAAGCGAUACCGUAAGGAGUCGUGGACAGUAUGGGAGAGAGAAUGUUGGCAUGAGUAGCGAGAUGAGGGUGAGAAUCCCUCAGGCCGUAAACCCAAGGUUUCCAGGGGAAGGUUCGUCCACCCUGGGUUAGUCGGGACCUAAGCUCAGGCCGAAAGGCGUAGGCGAUGGACAACAGGUUGAGAUUCCUGUACUACCGAUAAUCGUUUGAGAGAAGGGAUGACACAGUAGGAUAAGCUGAGCACACUGUUGGUUAAGUGUGUCUAAGCGUUGAGGCAGACUAGAUAGGCAAAUCCGUUUAGUUAAUGCUGGGGCGCGAUGGGGAGCGAAACUAAGUAGCGAAGCAGCUGAUUUCACACUGUCGAGAAAAGUCUCUAUCGAGAUUAAAGGUACCCGUACCGCAAACCGACACAGGUGGGUGAGGAGAGUAUCCUAAGGCCAGCGAGAGAACUGUUGUUAAGGAACUCGGCAAAAUGACCCCGUAACUUAGGGAUAAGGGGUGCCCCAGCAAUGGGGCCGCAGAGAAUUGGCCCAAGCGACUGUUUACCAAAAACAUAGGUUUCUGCUAAGUCGCAAGACGAUGUAUAGGAGCUGACGCCUGCCCGGUGCUGGAAGGUUAAGGGGAUCUGUAAGAGCAAUCGAAGCAGUGAUCUUAAGCCCCAGUAAACGGCGGCCGUAACUAUAACGGUCCUAAGGUAGCGAAAUUCCUUGUCGGGUAAGUUCCGACCCGCACGAAAGGCGUAACGAUUUGGGCACUGUCUCAACAACAGACUCGGUGAAAUUGUAAUCCCGGUGAAGAUGCCGGGUACCUGCGACAGGACGGAAAGACCCCAUGGAGCUUUACUGUAGCUUGACAUUGGGUUUCGAUACUACAUGUACAGGAUAGGUGGGAGACUAAGAAAUCAGGGCGUCAGUUUUGAUGGAGUCACCCUUGGGAUACCACCCUUGUAGUAUUGGGACUCUAACCAUAGGCCAUGAAUCUGGUCUUGGGACACUGUCUGGUGGGCAGUUUGACUGGGGCGGUCGCCUCCCAAAAGGUAACGGAGGCGCUCAAAGGUUCCCUCAGUACGGUCGGAAAUCGUACGAAGAGUGUAAAGGCAAAAGGGAGCUUGAUUGCAAGACAUACAGGUCGAGCAAGGUAGAAAUACGGACUUAGUGAUCCGGUGGUUCUGAGUGGAAGGGCCAUCGCUCAACGGAUAAAAGCUACCCUGGGGAUAACAGGCUUAUCUCCCCCAAGAGUCCACAUCGACGGGGAGGUUUGGCACCUCGAUGUCGGCUCAUCACAUCCUGGGGCUGUAGUUGGUCCCAAGGGUUGGGCUGUUCGCCCAUUAAAGUGGUACGCGAGCUGGGUUCAGAACGUCGUGAGACAGUUCGGUCCCUAUCCGUCGCAGGCGUAGGAAAUUUGAGAAGAUCUGUCCUUAGUACGAGAGGACCGGGAUGGACAUACCUCUGGUGUACCAGUUGUUCUGCCAAGGGCAUGGCUGGGUAGCUAUGUAUGGAAGGGAUAAGCGCUGAAAGCAUCUAAGCGCGAAGCCAACUUCAAGAUAAGAUUUCCCACCGCAAGGUUAAGAUCCCAGGAAGACUACCUGGUUGA